UAAUUGAAAGCAGGAAAACACAAACAAACACGUUCUGUAAAAGCAUCACUUGGAGAAUGUGGUCUGUAAAACCACAGGGAAUAUCAAACCUGCUCUUAAAUUACUGCAAAAUCUCCUGCAAGACCUCCCUUGCUGAUUGAUAUUUACAGCAAGAUCUUAGUGCUGACAUUCUUCAAAUAUUUGGCUUUUUUCAAUAGGAAGACCAAGUGUGUUGGUGGGCC